rnacentral:rRNA from 1 species
GAUGAACGCUAGCGGCAGGCCUAAUACAUGCAAGCCGAACGGCAAGAUUUUCAGCAAUGGAAAUCCUAGAGUGGCGUAAGGGUGCGUAACACGUAUGCAAUCUGCCCUCAACAGGAGGAUAGCUCCCCGAAAGGGGAAUUAAGACUCCAUAAGAUCUUAGAGUGGCAUCACUUAGAGAUUAAACUACCAGGGGUUGAGGAUGAGCAUGCGCAUGAUUAGUUAGUUGGCGGGGUAACGGCCCACCAAGACGAUGAUCAUUAGGGGAACUGAGAGGUUGAUCCCCCACACUGGCACUGAGAUACGGGCCAGACUCCUACGGGGAGGCAGCAGUAGGGAAUAUUGGACAAUGGGUGCAAAGCCUGAUCCAGCCAUGCCGCGUGCAGGAAGAAAGCCUUC